UACGAAGGGGGGCUAGCGUUGCUCGGAAUCACUGGGCGUAAAGGGUGCGUAGGCGGGUUUUUAAGUCAGAGGUGAAAUCCUAGGAGCUCAACUCCAGAACUGCCUUUGAUACUUGAAAAGUCUUGAGUAUGGGAGAGGUGAGUGGAACUGCGAGUGUAGAGGUGAAAUUCGUAGAUAUUCGCAAGAACACCAGUGGCGAAGGCGGCUCAUCUGGGCCCAUAACUCACGCUGAGGCACGAA
rnacentral:rRNA from 1 species